UGUGGGAAGGGUGGGGGUGGGACUGGGGGCAGAUGAGCCCCAGCCUUUUUUCGGGAGGCUCGUUCUGCAACCUGGGCUUCUCUGGUACUGCUCCUUGAGUUGGUUGCAGCUUUUCAGCUGUAUAAGCUCUUUUGGUAGGUGUGUUUUGACACAUAGGGAGGGGGAGGUUUCUGGUUGAGGUAAGAGAUUAAGGAGCAGUUAAUGUUGAGCGGCACAUAUAUUCGAAGUACACUGGUAUGCAGCUUUUCUUUUUCCUCGGGUCAGUAACUUCGGGUGUUCAGGAUUAGCAAGAUGGUUUAAUAGUGUGUUUUGAUUGUUUGGUUGUGCGUGUGGUUUUUUGUUUUUUGUUUGGGAUUUUUUUGUUUGUGUGUUUUUGUGUGUGUGUUUUUUGUUUGGUGGUUGUUGUUUUUGUGUUUUUUGUUUGUUUUAUUUUCUAGAACUUUAACGAAGGUAGAAGUGUACAACAUCUGUGUGCCUCUCUGUAUUUUCCUGGAAGUGGGCCCUGGAUCGAAGGUGACGGUUCCUGAGCCAUCGAAGAUGGACUGAGUAUACGCGCAGGCGCCUGACGCACCCACUGACCCAGGAGGCAUGUAUCCGGAGAUGCACAGCAGGGAGCCGGAUGCGGAAGAGAGGAGGUGAACAGAGCAUUGUGAGAAGAGUACGAGCCUCCCAACCCAUGGAAGAUCAACUAUGAAACAAGCCGUGCAGCAGUGAUGGAACGAUGACUGACUCGGUAUGCAGCGACCCAACGCCACACACCAUCUCUCCCACCCGGAAAGACUGAUACAACAGAUGGAGCCCAGAGUCAUGGACUGGAUGAACUCAAUGGACAUUUUUAAUGGACAUUGUACAGGGAAGGUCCAUGAACUAAGGGAAUGAUGUCUGUGUAUUAUGUUAAAGGAUGGGAAGGGGAGGGGUGGUGGUUGGUACGGUUGUAUUGCAUCAUAUGGGACCUGGGCAUGGUGUAAAUGGUAUGGAAUAAGGGGUGGAGAAUGUGCUGGUUUUGGCUGAGAAGGGGUUAAUUCUCCUCACUGUGGGGGUCAGCUACCUUUCCAGCUUCCCGCGCUCUGCCGCGUGGCGGGGGGGGGCUGGGAGGG